rnacentral:rRNA from 1 species
CGUACAAGCAGUGGGAGCACAGGUUUACCUGUGUGACUGCGUACCUUUUGUAUAAUGGGUCAGCGACUUAUAUUCUGUAGCAAGGUUAACCGAAUAGGGGAGCCGGAGGGAAACCGAGUCUUAAUUGGGCGUUAAGUUGCAGGGUAUAGACCCGAAACCCGGUGAUCUAGCCAUGGGCAGGUUGAAGGUUGGGUAACACUAACUGGAGGACCGAACCGACUAAUGUUGAAAAAUUAGCGGAUGACCUGUGGCUGGGGGUGAAAGGCCAAUCAAACCGGGAGAUAGCUGGUUCUCCCCGAAAGCUAUUUAGGUAGCGCCUCGUGAAUUCAUCUCCGGGGGUAGAGCACUGUUUCGGCUAGGGGGCCAUCCCGGCUUACCAACCCGAUGCAAACUGCGAAUACCGGAGAAUGUUAUCACGGGAGACACACGGCGGGUGCUAACGUCCGUCGUGAAGAGGGAAACAACCCAGACCGCCAGCUAAGGUCCCAAAGUCAUGGUUAAGUGGGAAACGAUGUGGGAAGGCCCAGACAGCCAGGAUGUUGGCUUAGAAGCAGCCAUCAUUUAAAGAAAGCGUAAUAGCUCACUGGUCGAGUCGGCCUGCGCGGAAGAUGUAACGGGGCUAAACCAUGCACCGAAGCUGCGGCAGCGACGCUGAUGCGUUGUUGGGUAGGGGAGCGUUCUGUAAGCCUGCGAAGGUGGCCUGUGAGGGUUGCUGGAGGUAUCAGAAGUGCGAAUGCUGACAUAAGUAACGAUAAAGCGGGUGAAAAGCCCGCUCGCCGGAAGACCAAGGGUUCCUGUCCAACGUUAAUCGGGGCAGGGUGAGUCGACCCCUAAGGCGAGGCCGAAAGGCGUAGUCGAUGGGAAACGGGUUAAUAUUCCCGUACUUGGUGUUACUGCGAAGGGGGGACGGAGAAGGCUAUGUUGGCCGGGCGACGGUUGUCCCGGUUUAAGCGUGUAGGUGUGUGUUCCAGGUAAAUCCGGUUCACUUUAACACUGAGGCGUGAUGACGAGGCACUACGGUGCUGAAGCAACAAAUGCCCUGCUUCCAGGAAAAGCCUCUAAGCAUCAGGUAACAUCAAAUCGUACCCCAAACCGACACAGGUGGUCAGGUAGAGAAUACCAAGGCGCUUGAGAGAACUCGGGUGAAGGAACUAGGCAAAAUGGUGCCGUAACU